rnacentral:rRNA from 1 species
GUUGCGGUUAAAAAGCUCGUAGUUGGAUCUCGGCAGGUAGGGGGCGGUUCGUUUCUGACGGCACUGCCCCAUUUACCUGUGUUUUUGACGGAGGUUUCACGGUGAUUUUCAUCGAUUGUCGUGAUACGCCGUCAGGUUUACUUUGAAAAAAUUAGAGUGCUCAAAGCAGGCUACAAGCUUGAAUAUUUGUGCAUGGAAUAAUGGAAUAGGAAGUCGUUUCUAUUUUUUUGGUUUUCGGAAAUUGACUUAAUGAUUAAUAGGGACAGCCGGGGGCAUUCGUACUCAGACGACAGAGGUGAAAUUCUUGGACCGUCUGAGGACGAGCUACUGCGAAAGCAUUUGCCAAGAGUGUUUUCAUUAAUCAAGAACGAAAGUUAGAGGUUCGAAGGCGAUCAGAUACCGCCCUAGUUCUAACCAUAAACGAUGCUGACUAGCGAUCCGUAGCUGUUUUCUAUGUAGGCUCUACGGGAAGCUUCCGGGAAACCAAAGUUUUUGAGUUCCGGGGGAAGUAUGGUUGCAAAGCUGAAACUUAAAGGAAUUGACGGAAGGGCACCACCAGGAGUGG